ensembl:lncRNA
CCUAUAAUUUAGUCACAUGAAACAGUUUAACCUCAGACAAGUCAAACGAGAGCACGAAGAAGCAGCAAAGAGCGAGCCGGGGUCAGCAGGCGAGAGGAACAGUCACCUGGCCCGGACAGGGCCCAGCGACCCAGGCCCUUUAUUCCCGUCCCUCCGGGCCGUGCGCGGCCCCCACCCCGGCCCGGGGCUCCCACGCCGCCCCCCUCGGCCCGCCCCACGCCCGUGCCCAGGACUGGGGGUCACAACAGCGGGCAGACGCCGCGCGCGGGCAAGUUGGAGACUUACCUCCCCCGGAUGCGCUAGACCAUCAAUGGAGCCUUCUUCCGCAGGCCAAGAAAGUAACCCGUGGUGGCCUUUGAAAGUCCCCCCACUGAACUGGAAUGGAGCUGUAGGUGAUUCCUGGGGGCGUGUUGCAAAAUGCAGGAGGCAGAUGUCACGUAUGCAAACACAUGCAAAAGCGAAACAGCCUCCCCCCGCCCCGCAAAAGGAUCAAAACCAGAAACAUUUUUCCUUUGUCUGGACAUGACUAAUUGUAGACAGCAAUUAAGGUGCGCCAUUCAACUCCAGAUUGGAUGAAUUUCCUCUCCACCAGCGUAGAAGUGGGUCUAUUUACCAACACACUCAGAGCUUGGUGUCAGGGAAGCCCUGCUCUGUUGCGCCCUGUGGCAUCCAGCGAAGCCCGCUCUUCUCUGAGUCCCACGGUACCCAGCCCGUGCCCCAGCGUGCGGUCCCAGGGCACGAACAUGCCUUUCGGAUGAGAUGGAAACCCGAAUGUGACUUCGGACCACGUGUGGUGAUCGAGAAGUCUCCUGGGGCUUUGUGAAAGAAUGGAGGGGAGGGGAGGCUGAGUUCCAUUGUCUUGGCCCAAUUCCAAGUUUGAUCAUUAGGCGUCCUCCUCCUUUGUCUGCCAGCCGGCUCCCUGCGACGCGCUGUUCCACACUUCCUGUGAUAAACAGCUGUCCACUGUUAACCGAGCCAGCCCAGGAGCCAGCAAAUUCCACCCUGGGGAAAGCCGAAUUUCAAGAUAAACAUUUCCUCUGCAUCUCUUGGUAAAUUACUUAGGUUUACCCUGAAGGAAAGGUGUAGUUUUCUAGGGAGAAUAAGGCCAUAAUAACGGGGAGUGGAAAACUAUCCACAAGCCCUAUUUUGUCUAAAUGGUGAACAAAGAAGGCUAGCAUGGAUCACAAAGGGGCCCUGGGAAGGAGGAGUCCAAAGAAAAUAUAUUUUAGAUUCUAACAUGUUAUUUGGGAGACUCAGAAUUUAAUCCUAUAACAUUGACGUGGGAGGUCCUAUUUGCUACCAAAAUUCAUUUUUUUUCUACCCAAGUCAUAUACGGAAGAAACAGGCGGGUAACUCGUAACCCAGAAGAAACAGCGACAUUCGCCCUCGUCUCCAGCUUUGGAGAUGGACGUGUCUGGGGCAAUCACUUUAAUGCCUCUCUUCCUUUCAUUUGACACUUUCAAGCAUCUUAAUUUCAAAAUAGCCACAUUCCUGGUCCUCUCAAUCCCAAAUGUCUCCUUCUCACACUCCAACUUCCAGAAUAAAUUUUUCUAUGUUUGUUUUUUCUUUUUUAAA